rnacentral:rRNA from 1 species
GAUGAACGCUGGCGGCGUGCUUAACACAUGCAAGUCGUACGGUAAGGCCCUUUCGGGGGUACACGAGUGGCGAACGGGUGAGUAACACGUGAGUAACCUGCCCACAACUUUGGGAUAACGCUAGGAAACUGGUGCUAAUACUGGAUAUGUGCUCCUGCUGCAUGGUGGGGGUUGGAAAGCUCCGGCGGUUGUGGAUGGACUCGCGGCCUAUCAGCUUGUUGGUGGGGUAGUGGCCUACCAAGGCGGCGACGGGUAGCCGGCCUGAGAGGGUGACCGGCCACAUUGGGACUGAGAUACGGCCCAGACUCCUACGGGAGGCAGCAGGGGGGAAUAUUGCACAAUGGGCGCAAGCCUGAUGCAGCAACGCCGCGUGCGGGAUGACGGCCUUCGGGUUGUAAACCGCUUUCAGCAGGGACGAAGCUUUUUGUGACGGUACCUGCAGAAGAAGCACCGGCUAACUACGUG